UCAUUUCCUGCGAAGCAGUGUAGAGACAGAACAAACCCUCUACUCACCGUCAGAUCAAAUUUUCAAAUUCAUCAAUCAAAUCAGAUCAUCAUUUCCGAUCACGAUGACCACCAGCAUCCACAUCACCGCCCUCGACGGUAUCGUUAAUGUCAACUCCCUCUUCACUCUCGCCGUCUUCGUCGGCCUUGCCUGGAACCCAACCGACCCCAACAACUCCCUUAUCACCGAUCCCACCUCCCCUUGCGCUGCCGGAUCCACCAUUGUCGAGAACAUCGUCUCCUAUCAUGUCUACUCGUUCAGUUCCUUUCUCUUCUCCAGCUUGAUCGCUCUUGCACUCAAGCAAGCUCUGCGGAUCGCCAAGACCCCCGAUUUUCACUCUCAUUCCCAUCACUUGCCCGAGUUCUUUGCGCGCGUGAACAAGAAUUCGCUUCGAGUGGGGAUGCUGGCUUCUGGUGUCGGUUCAGUUGUCGGGUGCGUGUUCUUGAUGCUGGCAUUGAUUAAUGUGGUUCAGUUCAAGCUCGGGACUUUGGCUUGUGGAAGUGGGCAUAGCUUAGCUGCGGUUGUGCCUCUUGUGAUUUUUGUCCCUAUUGCUCUCGUGAUUUAUGUGUGUAUUGUUUUGUAUGCUUUUGGUCGCUAAUCUUUAUUUUUUAGAAUGAUUUGCGAGGCAUAUGAUUGAGGUACUUGUAGAUUAGAUCUAGGAGGUAAAUUAAUUAUGGUAAAUUAAUUAUCUGAGUACUAUCAUCUUCAUAAAAGACAUAC
rnacentral:misc_RNA from 1 species